AGAGUUGAUCAUGGCUCAGGAUGAACGCUGGCGGCGUGCAUAACACAUUCAAGUCGAACGGUGAAGGGACUCGGUCCCGGAUCAGUGGCGGACGGGUGAGUAACGCGUGAGCAACCUGCCCUGCAGUGCGGGAUAACAGAGGGAAACUUCUGCUAAUACCGCAUAUAGCAUCGGAACCGCAUGAUUCCGGUAUGAAAGAUUUAUUGCUGCAGGAUGGGCUCGCGUCUGAUUAGAUAGUUGGCGGGGUAACGGCCCACCAAGUCUACGAUCAGUAGCCGGACUGAGAGGUUGAACGGCCACAUUGGAACUGAGAUACGGUCCAGACUCCUACGGGAGGCAGCAGGUGGGGAAUAUUGGGCAAUGGGGACCGAAAGCCUGACCCAGCGACGCCGCGUGAAGGAAGAAGGUCUUCGGAUUGUAAACUUCUGUUAACCAGGGACGAAACAAAUGACGGUACCUGGAGAGAAAGCCACGGCUAACUACGUGCCAGCCGCCGC
rnacentral:rRNA from 1 species